rnacentral:rRNA from 1 species
UGGGGGGGUAAUAAAAUAAAAUUAAUAAUUUAAUUAUUAAUAAAAAAAUUUUUAAAUAAAAUAAUUAUUUUAAUGGGGGUUAAAGUAAUUUUUAUUGAAAAAAUUUAUAAUUUUAUAGUUUAUUUGUAUUGUAAAUGAUUUUUGAAAUAAUAUGAAAUUUAAUUAUUUUAAAAGUAAAUUUUGUUUAUUGUAUCUUGUGUAUCAGAGUUUAUUAAAAAUAAUUUUAAUAAUUAAAAUUUCUCGAAUUUAAAAGAGUUAAUUAAUUAAUAAUAAGUUAUUGUUGUAUAAAUAUUUAAAAUAAUUAAUUUGAAAUGAAAUGUUAUUCGUUUUUAAAUAUAUCUAGUUUUUAUAGAAAAAAAUUUAAUUUUUUAUUAAUUAAUUUUUUUUUUUUUAUUAAUUAAUUAAUAAAAAUUUAUUUUAAUGAAAUAAUUUAAGGGAUAAUCUUUAAAUUAAAUUUUUAUAAUAUAAAUAAAGUAAGUAAAAUUUUUAUAGUUUAUAUUAUUAAUAAAUUUUAGUUUAUUAUAAAUAAUUUUAAUAAAAUAAAAAUUUAAUUUUAUUUAAUUUUUUAUAUAAAAAUAAAUUUUAAUUUUAUAAAUUAAAUUAUAAUGAUAAAAUUAGUAAAAUUUAUAUAUAUAUAUAUAUAUAUAUUAAAUUAUAAUAAAUUAAAAAUUUAAUUAUAAGAAAGGAAUUCGGCAAAUAUUUAUAUUCACUUGUUUAUCAAAAACAUGUCUUUUUGAUAAUAAUUUAAAGUCUAAUCUGCCCACUGAUUUAAAUUAAAGGGCUGCAGUAUUUUGACUGUACAAAGGUAGCAUAAUCAUUAGUCUUUUAAUUGAUGACUUGUAUGAAGGAUUGGAUGAAAUAUAGACUGUCUCAUUUAUAAAUUUAAUUUGAAUUUAAUUUUUUAAUUAAAAAGUUAAAAUUUUUUAAAAAGACGAGAAGACCCUAUAGAGUUUUAUAUUUUUAAUUUAUAAAAAUUUUAUUUUUAUAUUUUUAUAUUUAAAUAUUAUUUUGUUGGGGUGAUAGAGAAAUUUAAUUAACUUUUUUUUUUUUUUUACAUUGAUAAGUGAUUUAAUGAUCCAAAUAGUUUUGAUUAUAAGAAAAAAUUACCUUAGGGAUAACAGCGUAAUUUUUUUUUUUAGUUCAUAUAAAAAAAAAAGUUUGCGACCUCGAUGUUGGAUUAAGAUAAAAUUUAAAUGUAGAAGUUUAAAAUUUUGAUCUGUUCGAUCAUUAAAAUCUUACAUGAUCUGAGUUCAAACCGGUGUAAGCCAGGUUGGUUUCUAUCUUUUAAUAUUAAUAAUAUUUUAGUACGAAAGGAUUAAAUAUUACAAUUAUAUUGAUAAAAUUGAAUUUUAUUAAGUUUAUUUAAAAUUUUAAAUUAUUAUUUUAUUAAUUAUUAAAA